AGGCGCCGUGGGCCUCGCCCUGCCCCGCGGCGGGAACGCGGCCGUGAGGGUGUGGGGUGUAGGUCCGCCAGGCCUGCAACGGCUGCCGAGGGUCGUGGGAUGCGCUCGCCGCGUCCCUGCUCAGGCGGAGGGAGCCCGGCCCGCCGCCAGGGUCUCGAGUCCGGGUCCAGGCAGGCGUGGAGGUGGCGGGAACGGCGCACCGCCCGGGUGGGCGUUGUUUUAAGGCCGCAGGGCUUGGGAGGCUUGUGUUGAGUUACAGGUCGGCCCGUAGAUCCCCGGAAGCGCCUUUGGUUGCCAGCAGGUGUCGGCGAGGGUCUUCAGUGGCCACCCUCCUGGUGGUGAUGUUUCCGUUUCUUUCCAACAGGAGUAUGACAACUUUUCAACUUGAGUGCACACACUGUCCCCGGAAUCCCGCGUUCCAGGGAGGAAGCGCCUUUGACAGCGCGCGCCGGUUCGUGGGGCCCGACGGCGUGGGCCUGUGGUUGCGGACCUGGCGGAGAUGCGCGUUCGCUUCGAUUGUAGGCCAUUCCUUUUAGGAGCUGAGAAAGGAUCCGUUUUUACAGCAUUCUCGACCUGUGAUUCUUGGUGGGGGAAACUAGUUAUGUGGAUAAAAAUACAGUUAGCAAAAUAAAAAUGCCAAUUUUACAUUUCCUUAAA
rnacentral:lncRNA from 10 species